AGAGUUUGAUCAUGGCUCAGAGUGAACGCUGGCGGCAGGCCUAACACAUGCAAGUCGAGCGGCAGCGCGGGGGCAACCCUGGCGGCGAGCGGCGGACGGGUGAGGAACACAUCGGAAUCUACCCAGUCGUGGGGGAUAACGUAGGGAAACUUACGCUAAUACCGCAUACGACCUGAGGGUGAAAGCAGGGGACCGCAAGGCCUUGCGCGAUUGGAUGAGCCGAUGUCCGAUUAGCUAGUUGGUGAGGUAAAGGCUCACCAAGGCGACGAUCGGUAGCUGGUCUGAGAGGAUGAUCAGCCACACUGGAACUGAGACACGGUCCAGACUCCUACGGGAGGCAGCAGUGGGGAAUAUUGGACAAUGGGCGCAAGCCUGAUCCAGCCAUGCCGCGUGUGUGAAGAAGGCCUUCGGGUUGUAAAGCGCUUUUGUUCGGGAAGAAAUCUUCCGACCUAAUACGUCGGGAGGAUGACGGUACCGAAAGAAUAAGCACCGGCUAACUUCGUGCCAGCAGCCGCGGUAAUAC
rnacentral:rRNA from 1 species